CCAGGAGAGGUAUACAGUGUUGAAAUUGGGAGCUGCAAGCGUAAAAAGUCGUUGGAGGCCUGGAAUGCCUUCCCAGCAUGCCUUGUGCUGCUAGCACACAGGAAAGCCUCAUAAUGUCAGCAGCUGCCAUCUGAUUGGUCAUGAUGGAACAGGAGGUGGAUCGAGCUCUGCUGAAGCAAAUCCAGCUUCAGGAUCAUAGAGUGUGCUUUGCAGAGUGGCACAUCUAUGGAUGUUAGCCCUUGUAGCCACAACUCUCUAUUGUUUCUGUGUGAGGGAAGGCCUUCUGGAUCCUGGUGGCUGGGUAGAAGAGGAUGCCCCUGAUUCCUGCCAGAAGAAAAGCAGAAACCAUGAAUGUAGCUGUUAAUGAAGGUCUAUAAGGGAAACAAAAGAAUAUACCCAAGGAUUUGUACAACUCCUGAAUGAAUGAAAAAUGUUGGUCCAGCACUACAAUAACUAAACAAGAAGGAGCGUGAAGUUUAACAUUUAGCAGCAGCUGUGUGAAUACUGAGUAUAUUUAAGGCUCUGAACUGCAUACUAAGGCAUGGUUUCAAAUUGGGUUUAAAGCUUCUGAUUUAUGCUCCUAAUAAGCCAAUCUAACAUUUCUUUUCUUAAUUUUUGAUAAAUGAAGUGUGUUGGGCAGGAUGCUAUCCUUCAAUUUAUUUUUGUUUUAGAACUUGUUAAUAACAAAUCUGACUGUGCUCCACAUGUAAAAGAGCUGUGCAGGGCAUUGGGAGCAAGAGUUCUCUUAAUGAGAUGGGAGUGCAAUCUGUUUAAAAGACAAAUCUCUCCCCUUCUUCUUUCCAGACAGGACACUUAAUUUAAAUUGCUGAAUCAAAACUAAAUGCUGUUUUCCCUAGCUUUGAAUUCAUUUCAUUCUAUCAUUUUGAAAUGGUUUGGAAUACAAAUUGCAUGCAUU